UUUCUCACGCUUCACCGAAACAAUGUAUUAGCACAUUGGACCAAGAUGCAAAUGCAAUUGGCGAAGGGAAUAAGUAGUGCAUUGAUACUAUCAAGGAAAUCCAAAUCGAUAACAAAUUCAUAGUCAUUGAGAGGAUUACCUAGAUGGAUUCCUUGUUUUUUCAUGCUUCAAGCUGCAACUCGACUUCUUGUGCUGUGCUUACAAUAGGAACCUCUUUGGAGUUGACGGUCUUAAU
rnacentral:lncRNA from 1 species